rnacentral:rRNA from 1 species
GCAUGAUCAGCUUAUAAAGGCGGCGUAGCUGUCGCUAUGGGAUGGCCCCGCGGUGCAUUAGCUAGUUGGUAGGGUAACGGCCUACCAAGGCAAUGAUGCAUAGCCGAGUUGAGAGACUGAUCGGCCACAUUGGGACUGAGACACGGCCCAAACUCCUACGGGAGGCAGCAGUAGGGAAUCUUCCACAAUGGACGAAAGUCUGAUGGAGCAACGCCGCGUGAGUGAAGAAGGUUUUCGGAUCGUAAAGCUCUGUUGUUGGUGAAGAAGGAUAGAGGUAGUAACUGGCCUUUAUUUGACGGUAAUCAACCAGAAAGUCACGGCUAACUACGUGCCAGCAGCCGCGGUAAUACGUAGGUGGCAAGCGUUGUCCGGAUUUAUUGGGCGUAAAGCGAGCGCAGGCGGAAGAAUAAGUCUGAUGUGAAAGCCCUCGGCUUAACCGAGGAACUGCAUCGGAAACUGUUUUUCUUGAGUGCAGAAGAGGAGAGUGGAACUCCAUU